AUGAAAAUUUUGAGUUGGAACUGUCGAGGCUUCGGACAGCCUCGCACAGUCCAAGAACUUGUGUGUCUCUCUAAGACACACCGACCCAAUGUUAUAUUUCUUUCUAAAACUACACAAAAUUAAGAGCAUGUUAAGAGUUUGCGCUACUGGUUGGGAAUGGAAAAUGUUUUUUCCAUUACCGUUCAAGGCAAAGGGUAUAGGCUGGCUGUGUUUUGGGAUGAACAUUUCUCUCGAACUAAAUAA
rnacentral:rRNA from 1 species